GUGGGGAAUAUUGGACAAUGGGCGAAAGCCUGAUCCAGCCAUGCCGCGUGUGUGAAGAAGGUCUUCGGAUUGUAAAGCACUUUAAGUUGGGAGGAAGGGCAGUAAGUUAAUACCUUGCUGUUUUGACGUUACCGACAGAAUAAGCACCGGCUAACUUCGUGCCAGCAGCCGCGGUAAUACGAAGGGUGCAAGCGUUAAUCGGAAUUACUGGGCGUAAAGCGCGCGUAGGUGGUUUUGUAAGUUGGAGGUGAAAUCCCCGGGCUCAACCUUGGAACUGCCUCCAAAACUACUGAGCUAGAGUACGGUAGAGGGUAGUGGAAUUUCCUGUGUAGCGGUGAAAUGCGUAGAUAUAGGAAGGAACACCAGUGGCGAAGGCGACUACCUGGACUGAUACUGACACUGAGGUGCGAAAGCGUGGGGAGCAAACAGGAUUAGAAACCCUUGUAGUCC
rnacentral:rRNA from 1 species